rnacentral:lncRNA from 1 species
AUGCACUGGAGAGCCAGCCUUUCAGCAGGGCAGUGUGGAGCAAGGCCACCCAGCCAGCCCAGCCUGACGGCAGUCAGCCAAUGCUUCUUACAGAUGCUGGACCAUGGGAUUGCAGAUCCUAUAACCUCAGACUAUGAGUUGAAAUAAACCUUUUCUUCCAAAGAUGCUCCUUUCAGGACUUAUUAGAAUUGCGUCUGGAUCAAAUUUCAGCUGACCUUUGAGGAGAACAAGUUUUGGCCCAUUUUAAGCAUCAAGCUCAUUGAGUCUUCAAAACUACUUUGAAAGGGGAUAUGCCAAUAUGAUGAUGUUUUAAAAGCACAAAUCAGAGCACAUACUAACAAUAAAGUUUUGAAAGAAAAAAUAAAAUGUUAAACU